rnacentral:antisense_RNA from 1 species
GUGGCGGUGCAGUCCCACGUGGCGUCGGUGUCCAGCAGGGCGUUCUCACCGAAGCUGCCGCCGUCGGCGAGCGUGGCGACGGUCACCUCGUCGCCGUACUUCCCGACGGAGGUCUGUUUGAUCCUGCCGUGGGCGAUCAGCUGGAUCUGCUCGGCGGGGGAGCCGCGUUCGGCCAGCACCUCACCCGCGCGGAACUCACGCUGGACGCACCGGCCGGCCAGCGCCGCCAGUACCUCGUCGUCCUCGAAGCCGCGCAGCGGAGCCAGUUCGCACAGCUCACGGGGGAUCACGCGGACAUUCCCGCCGUCCUGGACGAACUCGAUCCGACCGUCGCCGACGGUGUAGUUCAGCCGACGGUUCACCCGGUAGGUGCCGCCCUUGGUCUCCACCCAGGGGAGCAUCCGCAGCAGCCAGCGGGAGGUGAUCUCCUGCAUCUGCGGGGCGGACUUGGUCGUCGUGGCGAGAUUGCGCGCGGCGGCGGUGCCCAGGCUGGACUGCGGAGGCGACUCCG